rnacentral:rRNA from 1 species
AUUCCAGCUGAUCCUGCUGGCGGAUACUGCUAUCGAAGUUCGACUAAGCCAUGCAAGUCUGAGAGUCCGGCCACGGAGGACUCUGGCGUACGGCUCAGUAACACGUGGACAACCUACCCUACAGAGGCGCUAAUCCCGGGAAACUGGGGCUAAUACGCCGUAGGAAACAGGCACUGGAAUGUCCUGUUUCCAAAAAGGAGCUACCCAUGCGUAGUUUCCGCUAUAGGAUGGGUCUGCGGUGGAUUAGGUAGUUGGCGGGGUAACUGCCCACCAAGCCGAAGAUCCAUACGGGCCUUGAGAGAGGGAGCCCGGAGAAGGGUACUGAGAUAAGGACCCUAGCCCUACGGGGUGCAGCAGGCGCGAAAAUUCUGCAAUGCGCGAAAGCGUGACAGAGGAACUUCGAGUGUCCCUUCUAGGGACUUUUGCCAACUUUAGAAAGGUUGGCGAAUAAGAGCUGGGUAAUAUGCGUGCCAGCCGCCGCGGUAAUACGCAAGGCUCGAGUGGUAUCCCCUUAUAUUGGGCCUAAAGCGCUCGUAGCCGGCCCUGUAAGUCUUUGGUGAAAUCGGCUCUCCUAAGGAGUCGAAUUGCCAGAGAUACUGCAGGGCUCGGGACAGGGAGACGUGAAGGGAAUUUCCGGAGUAGCGGUGAAAUGCUGUGAUCCCGGAAGGACCACCAGUAGCGAAGGCGCUUCACGAGAACUGAUCUGACGGUGAGGAGCGAAAGCUGGGGGAGCGACCCGGAUUAGAUACCCGGUUAGUCCCAGCCGUCAACGAUGCGGACUAGGUGUUCUAGCGCCCACGUGGCGCGGGAGUGCCGAAGCGAAGGUCUUAAGUCCGCCGCCUGGGAAGUAUACUCGCAAGGGUGAAACUUAAUGGAAUUGGCGGGGACGCACUACAAGGGGUGGAUGCUGCGGUUUAAUUGGACACAACGCCAGAUAACUCACCAGGGGCGACAGCAGAAUGAUGGACAGUCUGAAGGGCUUUCCUGACACGCUGAGAGGUGUUGUAUGGUCAUCGUCAGCUCGUACUAUGAAGCGUCCUGUCAACUCAGGCAACGGGCGAGACCCACGCCCAUAGUUGCUAUCUCCCGAUUCCGGGGGAGCACUCUAUGGGGACUGCAGCAGCAAUGCUGAGGAAGGAGUGGUCCACGGUAGAUCUGUAUGGCCCGAAUCUCCUGGGCAACACGCGGCAUACAAUGGACAAGACAAUGAGUUUCGAGCCCGAAAGGGUAAGGUAAUCCCAGAAACUUGUCCUCAGUUCGGAUUGAGGGUUGUAACUCACCCUCAUGAAGAUGGAAUCCCCAGUAAUCGCGCGUCACUAUCGCGCGGUGAAUCUGUCCCUGCGUCUUGCACACACCGCCCAUCAAGCCAGCUGAGUGAGGUCUUGGUGAGCCCAUCCUCUUCGAGGGUGGUCGAUCCAAGGCUUCGCGAGGGGGGCUAAGUUGUAACAAGGUGUCCGUAGGGGAACCUGCGGACGGAUCACCUCCU